AGUGAACUAAUGACGAGUUAUUCCGAAAUCCCCCCAAUGGGAAGGAAUAAAUCUGACAUGUUCACA
rfam:Plasmodium ovale wallikeri genome assembly, contig: contig191